rnacentral:rRNA from 1 species
GAGUUUGAUCGUGGCUCAGAUUGAACGCUGGCGGCAUGCCUUACACAUGCAAGUCGAGCGGAUGACGGGAGCUUGCUCCUUGAUUCAGCGGCGGACGGGUGAGUAAUGCCUAGGAAUCUGCCUGGUAGUGGGGGACAACGUUUCGAAAGGAACGCUAAUACCGCAUACGUCCUACGGGAGAAAGCAGGGGACCUUCGGGCCUUGCGCUAUCAGAUGAGCCUAGGUCGGAUUAGCUAGUUGGUGGGGUAAUGGCUCACCAAGGCGACGAUCCGUAACUGGUCUGAGAGGAUGAUCAGUCACACUGGAACUGAGACACGGUCCAGACUCCUACGGGAGGCAGCAGUGGGGAAUAUUGGACAAUGGGCGAAAGCCUGAUCCAGCCAUGCCGCGUGUGUGAAGAAGGUCUUCGGAUUGUAAAGCACUUUAAGUUGGGAGGAAGGGCAGUAAGUUAAUACCUUGCUGUUUUGACGUUACCGACAGAAUAAGCACCGGCUAACUCUGUGCCAGCCG